rnacentral:rRNA from 1 species
ACGUAGGAGGCGAGCGUUGUCCGGAAUUAUUGGGCGUAAAGCGCGCGCAGGUGGUUAUACAAGUCUCAUUUAAAAGUGCUGAGCUCAACUCUGUGAUGGCUGAGAAACUGUAUGACUUGAGUGAAGUAGAGGUAGGCGGAAUUCCUAGUGUAGCGGUGAAAUGCUUAGAUAUUAGGAGGAACACCAGUUGCGAAGGCAGCCUACUGGGCUGCUACUGACACUGAGGCGCGAAAGCCAGGGGAGCAAACGG